rnacentral:lncRNA from 1 species
CGGGGCGCCCGAACGCCGCAGCCUGGAGAGCCCGUGCCAGCUGGGUGACGCCAACCCUAAAGACAAUGGGGGGGGGGGACACGCAGAGGGACACCAGGCAUAGUCAAGGAUGGGGAACGGUGGAGCUGGUUUCUCCCCAUCACUUUCGCUGCCUGUCUUGGUCCAUCCUAACUCUCUGUCCCGACUCCCAAGCUAGCCUGGCCUGCCCGGGAGCUCCGGACUCCAGGACGCUCUCACUGCAGAGCACCACGCGCGGAAGCCGGAGCACGUGCGGGAGGUGGGAAUGGUACCUGGUGUGCUGAGCCGACACGGAGCUCUACUUUCCUCCAGGGAUGAGAUGGGGACAAAGCCUCUUUCUGGCCAGAAGAAAAUGGUCACAUUGUGACUCCCUCCUUCCCUCCAGGAAGGAUACUUAGGCUCCGCAUUUAAUCCAGGUGGGGCGGGGGCGGGGCACCCUUUCAAUGGAGCCCACUAGGUCCUUGGCAGAUAGUGGUUGGAGCACACACCGGUGAUGGUUAAUUCUGAGAGUCAUACUGACUAGGUUACAGAGUGUCCAGACCAUUUGAGAAAGCGUUAUUCUGGGUGUGUCCCCAGGGUUGAAGUGGCUGCUGCAGAACCUCUUGGCCCCAUGUCUCACCACAAGGGACUGUCCCUUUCUCCCAUGUGCCACGCCCUCGUAGCACUUGGGGAAAUUAGCUGCACCACUUAUACCCACAGGUGCCUCUGAAAUCUUCCUCACCCCUUCCCUCCCUUUGUUAGGGUUUCCAACAGAGCACGACCUGAACAAAAGUGGUUUCAUUUUCUCUUAAGGCGGUUGCUAGCUUGCCUGGUAAUGUCAGGUCUGGUGUCUCAGUCUAGCUUGGCCCCUCAUUAUCGCAAAGUGGCUGCAGUCGCUAUGAGCAUUGAACAUAUUUCAUUCAAGGAAGAGCAAUGAAGAAUGAUGGACAAAGUGCUUUUCCACAUUUAUCUUCCUCUUAUGUUGGAGAAAAAAGGCUUUGUCAGAAAUUUCCAAGAUUGUCCCCUUUCAUCUCGUUGUCCAGACAGCCAUGAGGGCUCCUCAGAGCAAGUCUGGAUGUACCUUCUUGAGAUCAAAGGAACUCAGUUGAGACCUGAGCAAAUUGGGUUCAUGGCGGCAGAGGAAAGGGGCGGAAGUGAGGGGGAACGGAUAGCCCAGGAGCAUGGUCUGUCUCCUUCCUCCACCAACUGCUGGUCCCGGGAGCUCGUCCAUGACAGGCAGGUAAACUGUUGCUCCUUGCAGAAGCGCCCUCAUUUUUUAAGGUCUAGCAGCACAUGCCCAUUCCUGGAACUUGGCUAACCCAGAUUCCAGAUGGACCUGUCUGUCACUCCAUCUGCUUCCGGAUGGAUCGUGUCAUGAUCUUGUGUUAUCAUUUAU